GUGAGAAUGUUGGCAUGAGUAGCGAGAUGUGGGUGAGAAUCCCACAGGCCGUAAACCCAAGGUUUCCAGGGGAAGGUUCGUCCGCCCUGGGUUAGUCGGGACCUAAGCUGCGGCCGAAAGGCGUAGGUGAUGGACAACAGGUUGAUAUUCCUGUACUACCGAUAACCGUUUGAGAGAAGGGAUGACACAGUAGGAUAAGCUAAGCACACUGUUGGUUAUGUGUGCCCAAGCAUUGAGGCAGUCAAAGUAGGCAAA
rnacentral:rRNA from 1 species